rnacentral:rRNA from 1 species
UACGAAGGGGGCUAGCGUUGUUCGGAGUUACUGGGCGUAAAGGGCGCGUAGGCGGCGCACCAAGUCAGGCGUGAAAGCCCUGGGCUCAACCCGGGAAUUGCGCUUGAGACUGGUGUGCUUGAGUACGGGAGAGGAUAGUGGAAUUCCCAGUGUAGAGGUGAAAUUCGUAGAUAUUGGGAAGAACACCGGUGGCGAAGGCGGCCAACUGGACCACAACUGACGCUGAGGCGCGAAAGCGUGGGGAGCAAACAGG